GGAUCAUUACUGAGUGAGGGUCUCCGGGCCCGACCUCCAACCCUUCUGUGAACCACCUCGUUGCUUCGGGGGCGACCCUGCCGUUCGCGGCGCGGGGCCCCCGGAGCCCAUCAAACCCUGCGUAACUAAGUCGUCGGAGUUUAAAACAAAUAAACAAAACUUUCAACAACGGAUCUCUUGGUUCGGGCAUCGAUGAAGAACGCAGCGAAAUGCGAUAAGUAAUGUGAAUUGCAGAAUUCAGUGAAUCAUCGAAUCUUUGAACGCACAUUGCGCCCCCUGGUAUUCCGGGGGGCAUGCCUGUCCGAGCGUCAUUACACCAAUCAAGCCUGGCUUGGUAUUGGGCGUCCGCGGGUUCGACCCGCGCGCCUUAAAGUCUCACCGGCUGAGCGGCGUCGUCUCUAAGCGUUGUGGAAACUAUUCGCGGAGAGGUGGCGCGGCGUGGCCGUUAAACACCCCAUCAAAGGUUGACCUCGGAUCAGGUAGGGAUACCCGCUGAACUUAAGCAUAUCAAUAAGCGGAGGAAAAGAAACCAACAGGGAUUGCCCUAGUAACGGCGAGUGAAGCGGCAACAGCUCAAAUUUGAAACCUGGCGCUUGCGUCCGGAUUGUAAUUUGUAGAGGAUGCUUCUGGGCAGCGGCCGGUCUAAGUUCCUUGGAACAGGACGUCACAGAGGGUGAGAAUCCCGUAUGUGAUCGGCGCGCACCCUCCACGUAGCUCCUUCGACGAGUCGAGUUGUUUGGGAAUGCAGCUCUAAAUGGGAGGUAAAUUUCUUCUAAAGCUAAAUAUUGGCCCGAGACCGAUAGCGCACAAGUAGAGUGAUCGAAAGAUGAAAAGCACUUUGGAAAGAGAGUUAAAAAGCACGUGAAAUUGUUGAAAGGGAAGCGCUUCCCACCAGACUCCGCGGCGGUGUUCCGCCGGUCUUCUGACCGGUCUACUCGCCGCCGUGGGGCCAGCAUCGUCUGGGGCCGCCGGAUAAGACCGCAGGAAUGUAGCUCAUUGAGUGUUAUAGCCUGCGGGGAUGCGGCGCGCCCCGGGCGAGGUCCGCGCUUCGGCAAGGAUGCUGGCGUAAUGGUGGGCAGCGGCCCGUCUUGAAACACGGACCAAGGAGUCUAACAUCUAUGCGAGUGUUCGGGUGUCAAACCCCUACGCGUAAUGAAAGUGAACGGAGGUGGGAGCUUCGGCGCACCAUCGACCGAUCCUGAUGUCCUCGGAUGGAUUUGAGUAAGAGCAUAGCUGUUGGGACCCGAAAGAUGGUGAACUAUGCCUGAAUAGGGUGAAGCCAGAGGAAACUCUGGUGGAGGCUCGCAGCGGUUCUGACGUGCAAAUCGAUCGUCAAAUUUGGGCAUAGGGGCGAAAGACUAAUCGAACCAU
rnacentral:rRNA from 1 species